AUAAGAUCUUUUUUGCUGGCCUCUACAAGACAUUGAGUAAAAGGUCACUUCAGCACCUUGCUAGGCUGAAACAUCAAACAGUGAUUGCUUAUCAGACUGCAGGUUGGAUUUUAUGAAGGUGAUCCCAGCCUGCUCAUGAUCAUGUGGUAGACCAGAGCAGAAGAGGGCCAAGGCUAAGCCAUUCCACCUGCUUCAGACCUGCAUGUGUCCUCCCGGCCCUAACAACGUGCCCAAGGUGAAGGAUGGAAACAACAACAACAAAAUAGAGAUCUAGAUCUCCUUUGAAAGAAGAAAAAGCUGCAACUCAAGACAGGAAGUGACCUGUCUAAGGCAAUGGAUAUGGGAAGGAAAACAUCCCAGGGUCACAGAUGUAGAAGUGGAAGGGACCUCACAGCCAUUUAAUCUGAUCUCCUCAUUUUAAAGAUGAGGAGACUGAGGCCCAGAGAGCUUUCUUUAUAGUACUCAGUUUGAAUGGACAAAUAUUCCAUUACAUGGAACAUUAUCUCUUCAAUGAAAUCCACAACCUUCAAAAGACAUUGGCCUAGUCAUACAAACUACAAAAAAAGAAGAGAAUGAAGAAUGUUAUAAGACUGCCUCUUGUCCCAACUGUGAUAUGCAGUUGGAUAGUUGAGUUAGUACUUUGGGACACAUAUCUUGGAUAUCCUGUAGAUGGGCAAGAAACUGAGGGCCAUCUCCAGUUGUCCUGAUCUAUAUCUGGCCACUGGACCCAGAUGGCUCCAGAAG